rnacentral:ncRNA from 1 species
AAAAGAGGAGCGGCAGAACAUGAGUACCGCGCGCCGAGAAGAUGGUUAAGGGAUCUUUGCACAAAGCGCACGCAAAAGGGUAUCGCCGCCGAAGCGCAGCAGGACCUUGGCGCUGCGCUGGGAGUACGGGAGAAUACCCGCAGUCCUGUCACCGCCACGGUGAAGCGCUUUUU